rnacentral:misc_RNA from 1 species
AAGUCGUAACAAGGUUUCCGUAGGUGAACCUGCGGAAGGAUCAUUACCAAAUUCAUGAACAAUAAGGUCUUUUGUAAAAGAAAGUAACCUUUAUUGUUUUUUUAAACCCCAUUGUGAAUUGUUGUAAAAGUUUUUUUUUGCAAAGUCUUUUUUUUUAAUAAUUGUUGAAAGACAUUAUUUAAAAGACUUUGCAUAUUUAUUAAACACAAGUUUUGGUUUUUGUUGGAAUAAAGUUGAAAUUAAUAAAAAAAACAACUUUUAACGGUGGAUCUCUUGGCUCGU